rnacentral:lncRNA from 1 species
GUCUGAGAUGGCUUUGAAGAUAAGCACAUUCAGGGCGUGCUGACUUGCAAGCAGUGUGUGUGUGUGUGAUCAUGAUGCCACAGAGGUGGGGAGGGAUGUGUGGAAACCUAGGGAGAAAACAGCACCUAGAAAAGUUCCCUGGGUGGGGGUAGGAUGAAUUUCGAGCAUCACUCGAGCAGUUUUGUUUCUGCGACCUGUAUCUGUCUCUUUUCUCCUUCCCUUCUGGGUCCCCCUUCAUCAAAAUAAAUGCCCAAAUGUGAGCACUGGCAGGGUGGAAUAGGUUAUAACUGGUCAAAUGUCAGAGCUGAAGUCACUGCAGAGAUAGCAAUGAUAGCCAGGGUGGCACAGACCUUACCUCGGGGGUAUCUUUUUUUGUUUUGUUUGUUUUUUGAGACGGAAUUUUUUUCUCUCGUUGCCCAGGCUGGAGUGCAAUGGUGCGAUCUCAGCUCACUGCAACCUCUGCCUCCUGGGUUCAAGCGGUUCUCCUGUCUCAGCCUCCUGAGUAGCUGGAAUUAUAGGCACAUGACACCACGCCCAGCUAAUUUUUUUAUUUUUAUAUUUUUUAAUUUUUUUUAGUAGAGACGGAGUUUCAUCAUAUUGGUCAGGCUGGUCUCAAACUCUUGACCUCAGGUGAUCCACCCACCUUGGCUUCCCAAAGCGCUGGGAUUACAGGCAUGAGCCACCACGCCAGGCCUUGGGGGUCUCUUUAGGGAGAGGCCCCAUCCCCUCCUUUGUCCAGUCGGGAAUAUAAUACUUUUGAAGAUUACUGGGAAAGGGUUUUUGUUUUGAAAGCAGAAGAUGCACAUUCAGCCGGCAAAAAGCCUCCACUCCUGAACUGAUAAGAAGAAGGUAUGAAAAUCUUGAGAAAAACAGCUGUCAGGAGACUUCACAGUUAGACUUUUUGCCCUACCUUUGUCCUCCUGCAAGAGGUGAGAACACACAGCAUUCAAGGUGCCAUCUUGGAAGUGGAGAGCAGCCCUCACCAGACACCAAACCUAUUGGCCGUUGACCUUGGACUUCCCAGCCUCCAGAACUGUGAUAAAUACAUUUUUAUUAUUUACAAAUUACCUAGUUCAGGCAUUUUGUUAAAGAAGCACAAAUGGACUAAAAUAUAAGGAGCAAAAAAUUGACUUUGAAAAAGUCUACUGUAUCUUGUUUAGAGAAUAAAGUAAGUUCACUCAGUAUGUAGAGUAUUUAGCAUCUAUAAUAUACACAUAUAUACACAUAUGUAUAUAAAAAUUAUAGAAUAAUAUACACAAAACUUACUGUUCUU